AAAAAUGAAACAUGUUGUACAGAAUCUUUUUUUUUUCUUUUCUUUUCAAUUUUAUCUUCUAAUAAU
rnacentral:ribozyme from 1 species